rnacentral:tRNA from 1 species
GGGCAGGUGGCUGAUAAAAGUGGUAGAUUGUAAAUCUAUAAAUGAGGUUGUUCUCUCUGCUUA